GGAUGCGAUCAUACCAGCACUAAAGCACCGGAUCCCAUCAGCACUCCGAAGUUAAGCGUGCUUGGGCGAGAGUAGUACUAGGAUGGGUGACCUCCUGGGAAGUCCUCGUGUUGCAUUCC
rnacentral:rRNA from 1 species